rnacentral:lncRNA from 1 species
UAAUUGAAAAUAAUUCCAAGUUUAAAUAAUAGCCUGUUAUUAUGGAAAAAUUUUAUUACAAAAUGUUUUUUGGUAUGAGAUACAGAACGCAUUUUUCAAAUGGUGAAAAUCUUUUGACCUCUUACUGUACAUCAAACAAAAAAAUAAACAAUUAUAAAUCCUGUUAACUAAUUGCAAAACAAAUAAAAAAAUUAUACUGAUGAAUGAAUUAUCACAAACAAAUGAUUGACCCUCUCAAAAUCACAAAAAAUAAACAAGUAUGCAUGUACAACACACUGUAGAACUAAAUCAACCUUCUUGCAUUAAUUAUUUGCGUAACAUAUUUAAAACAAAGUAACUUCCUUAUCAAAACACAUUUACAAACUAGAUCACCACAAUUCGACUAAGUUACUUAAAAGCUUUACUAUAAAAUUAUUAUUGAGUAAGGGGUCAUCCAUAAUUGUCAACCAUUUUCCAAAGUGUACAAAACGUACACUUGGAGGGAGGGGGUUAAAAAAUCAACAUUUUUACCGUACGCUUUUUUUUUUAUUUCUAGAAUUUAUUUCUUUUCCGUAGGGAAGGUCGAUGUAUAAAAUGGAGAAUUGGCUUGGGUGUGUUUCUCUCAUUUCUUCUUUAUUAUUUUCACUUGAUAUUUAUUUCGAUAUCAUAAUUUUCCUCAAUCCGGAUUGAACGAUUAAAAGAUCAAAUCAUAUGAAAACUAAAUCUUUCAAAAAUGUAAACUUGUAAAAAAUUUUAAACAAAAAGUUUGCAAGCAUUUCCCGAUUGUCAAUUUCACCUGCUUUAUUAUAAAUCGUUAUCGUUUCACUCUGUUUAAUUAACAAAACUGAUGGAAACACUAAAUUCUUUGAAUGUUUUGAUUUUGACAAGACGCCAUUUUGUGAAAAGAUUUUAAACUGGUCCUUCGAUUAAUUUCCUUGUAAUGUAUUCCAAAACAGUAAACCAAUAAAACGGAAGUAAACUUAUUUUUCUUAGUAUAAGCCUCCUUUAAUUAGGAGCACCUCCAUAUGAAGUUUAACCUUAACCUUAAAAAUUAUCUAAUAUAUGUACACGUUACAGUAUACAUGGUAUAUAUACAUAAACGAUAAUAGUGCCAUUAAUGGCAUAUUUACAGGGACCUUUUAAAUAGAAAUACAGGCAGGAAAUUUAAAAACUUAAAAUGUUUUAAAACAUUACACUUUUAUUGAUUGCUGUCUUGAGCUCUGAUUCCAUCAACAACUGUCACUCCAUUCUUUACCAAUGCAAUAUAACCAUGCAUUUCCCUUUCUUUGAUUCUUAGCAUAGUUUAUGUGCCCUUUUGUUAAUCUUUUGCAUGCUCUAGGUGCCCUUUUUCAUUGGAGUUCCCACUGUGUGAUAGGGGAAACACUAAUCUUUGAACUCUUUAUUCUAACAAAACACAAGCAUCACAGAUAGAUGUCACAGUCAGAUAUGUUUUAGUUUAUUUUCAAUGCAAAUUUCUAUAUUAAACUAAAAUAUAAUAAACAUGAUCUUCUUUUUAUUAAGAAUGAUUGAUUCCUCUCUUGAAAUCUGAAAAUGGUUGAUGUACACUUUUUGAGGGAGGGUGGGGGUCUGAAAAAGUGUACGUUUUGUACACUUUGGAAAAUGGUUGACAAUUAUGGAUGACCCCUAAGCUGUUGUUAUCAGUAUUGAAUCCCUAGUAUAAAAAAAAGAUUUUUUUUUAAAAACAUAAUAGAAUUAAAAACCAAUCAUGUACCUUACUUAACAAACAUUCUAAUCUAAAAUAAAUGACCACUGAGUCCAUGCAAUACAAUAGACUUAUCAAAAUAUGCAAAAUCACAUGUGUUUCAUAAAUCAAGUAAAAAAAGUGUCAAAG